rnacentral:rRNA from 1 species
AUUGAACGCUGGCGGAAUGCUUUACACAUGCAAGUCGAACGGCAGCACGGGGCAACCUGGUGGCGAGUGGCGAACGGGUGAGUAAUACAUCGGAACGUGCCCAAUCGUGGGGGAUAACGUAGCGAAAGUUACGCUAAUACCGCAUACGAUCUACGGAUGAAAGCGGGGGAUGGCAAGACCUCGCGCGAAUGGAGCGGCCGAUGUCAGAUUAGGUAGUUGGUGGGGUAAAGGCUCACCAAGCCAACGAUCUGUAGCUGGUCUGAGAGGACGACCAGCCACACUGGGACUGAGACACGGGCCAGACUCCUACGGGAGGCAGCAGUGGGGAAUUUUGGACACUGGGCGCAAGCCUGAUCCAGCCAUUCCGCGUGCAGGAUGAAGGCCUUCGGGUUAUAAACUGCUUCUGUACGGAACGAAAAGGCUCUGGUUAAUACCUGGGGCUCAUGACGGUACCGUAAGAAUAAGCACCGGCUAACUACGUGCCAGCAGCCGCCGUAAUAC